CCUGCCUACCUCCAUCUAUCUUGCACCUCCAUUGUCUUCCUCCUGUAAACCGCCCCCUCCCCCGCUUAAUUUCCUCUGCUUUGCCCCUGCUGCUGCAGAGCGCCGAGGUGGAUCCCCCAUGUCCAGCGCCGCCUCUGCCGACUCGGAGGAGAUCAGGGCGCGCGUCGUCCUCCAUGCGGAUGCCGCCGACGAGUGGGCGCGCCCAGAGCUCGAGGCCUUCCACCUGCCCUCCCAAUGAUCUCUAGCGCCGUCGUCGCCAUGAGCGACCACUCCGACCCCGACUCCUCCCCCAAGUCCUCCUCCCCCUCCGCCCGUCGCUGCUCCUCGCCGCAGCGCGGCCAGGACCACUCCAACUAGAGCGGCAGCAGAGAUGGCGUCCUCGUCGAGCUUCUCGCGCAGGAAGCGCCAAGCCUUGGGGCGGACCCGGACGGCGGCGUCGUCGUGAACAAGCCGGCCGGCGACCUCGCCGCCACGGGCUCCCGCUCCACGCACGCUCGCGCUGGACGAGUCCAUGGCCGUCAUCGACUUCCCUGUGGUGUCAAGCGCUGGCGCCGAGCUCCGCAAGUACCAGGAAAAGAAGGAGGUGUGACGGGCGCGAGCAACUGCAGGGACGACGCAGCGGGAGAGCUCGAGCGCAGCGGCGCCCACGCCGAGGAGCGCGAACUCGGCGUCGGCCAUCACCGCGAGGCCGUCGGGAAGAGGGAGUGGCGAGCGCGGAGUGCGUGGCCAAGGAGCAAGAGGCCGAGAGGGAAGAGAACCGCGACCCGCAGGUGAAGAUGCCGCACGGCCAGGCUCGAGCUGCUGCCGUCGACGAGAAGAACCUGGACGCCGGCAUCGAGGAGGAGAGCAACGCGGGGAAGAGACAGCGAGUGGAGGAGAGGCACGAGUGGGUAGGGGCACAGGGGUCAUUUCGCGUGCGUCUUCCACACUGGCGAGGUGAUAUGGCUCCAUCUGGCUCGCCACGUCAGCUAAAUUGGCAAAAGAUUAGCUUCGUGUUGAAGACUGGCAAAAAAUUAGUUUCAUUUGGAAGGAUGGCAAA